rnacentral:rRNA from 1 species
CCUACGGGUGGCAGCAGUGAGGAAUAUUGGUCAAUGGGCGCAAGCCUGAACCAGCCAAGUCGCGUGAGGGAAGACGGCCCUACGGGUUGUAAACCUCUUUUGUCGGGGAGCAAAGCGAGUCACGUGUGACUCAUUGAGAGUACCCGAAGAAAAAGCAUCGGCUAACUCCGUGCCAGCAGCCGCGGUAAUACGGAGGAUCCGAGCGUUAUCCGGAUUUAUUGGGUUUAAAGGGAGCGUAGGUGGAUUGUUAAGUCAGUUGUGAAAGUUUGCGGCUCAACCGUAAAAUUGCAGUUGAAACUGGCAGUCUUGAGUACAGUAGAGGUGGGCGGAAUUCGUGGUGUAGCGGUGAAAUGCUUAGAUAUCACGAAGAACUCCGAUUGCGAAGGCAGCUCACUGGACUGCAACUGACACUGAGGCUCGAAAGUGUGGGUAUCAAACAGGAUUAGAUACCCUUGUAGUC